CGCGGAAUGGAGCAGAAGCAGCUCGCUUGGCUCAUACCCCAAAAGAUGCAGGUGCAAGUUCUUCUUCCGCGA
rnacentral:tRNA from 1 species